GACGAACGCUGGCGGCGUGCUUAACACAUGCAAGUCGAACGAAGAGCGAUGGAAGCUUGCUUCUAUCAAUCUUAGUGGCGAACGGGUGAGUAACGCGUAAUCAACCUGCCCUUCAGAGGGGGACAACAGUUGGAAACGACUGCUAAUACCGCAUACGAUCUAACCUCGGCAUCGAGGAUAGAUGAAAGGUGGCCUCUACAUGUAAGCUAUCACUGAAGGAGGGGAUUGCGUCUGAUUAGCUAGUUGGAGGGGUAACGGCCCACCAAGGCGAUGAUCAGUAGCCGGUCUGAGAGGAUGAACGGCCACAUUGGGACUGAGACACGGCCCAGACUCCUACGGGAGGCAGCAGUGGGGAAUCUUCCGCAAUGGACGAAAGUCUGACGGAGCAACGCCGCGGGAGUGAUGACGGCCUUCGGGUUGUAAAGCUCUGUUAAUCGGGACGAAAGGCCUUCUUGCGAAUAGUUAGAAGGAUUGACGGUACCGGAUGAGAAAGCCACGGCUAACUACGUG
rnacentral:rRNA from 1 species